rnacentral:misc_RNA from 1 species
AUUAGGGCAUGGGAAAAGACGUAUAGCAUGAUACAUAGGCGAGUGCAAUCGGAAUGGGAAAUUUUGGAUUGGCCGCGAUUGCGGGCCGGCGGCUUCCUUAGCUUUACCUAGCGGCUGGCCACCACGCAAAGCUAAAUUGCACGUAGAAGACGAAAAGAAAGUCGACCACGGCGGCAACGUACCACCUUCUCAGCGCACCAAACUCUGCGAUUGGAACUUGAGUACGCUAGAGGCGAAUAUGUUGCUCGUGCUAGACGCUGUGAAUUAGCAUCUGCA